GGCGGUCAUGCAUGAAGAGAGUGCCCUGGACACCAUGAGGCUCGUCUUCGGGCGUAGACGCGAGCCCAAAGUGGUCGUCCAGCUCUGGGAGCUUUGUCCAGCCGCAUAACCGCGUCAAUAGGUUCUCCAUUCCGGGAGGCAGCGCCAUGAAGGCGUAGUUCUUUGCCAUGUAAACUAGCUUCCCGUGCAUCUCUUUUCAAAAAUCCGUCCAUGAGGCUGGCUUCUAGCUAGC
rnacentral:lncRNA from 1 species